UACAGCACUCUGCAGAGCCACAGAUACAAAAGUUCUCUCUCCUGCGGGUUUUCCUCCGCCUGUUCUGUGCCGCCACAUCCUUCACCUGCACUGCGCAGGUCUAUCAAAAGCAAUGGGAGGAGGUGAGUCUUGACAUGUCAUCAUUUCAGCUCCUAAAUGUUUAAUCCUUUGCAAAACUGAUUCAAAAUUGUAAUUAUUCCAACAUUAAAAAAAAGAAAAGGCGCAUUAACAUAUGUAACUUUCUCUUUAGCAUUUUCUAGUGAGCCAUGGAGGGAAGUGACAAAAGGUUACCAGGACAAUCUGGAUUUUGUGAAAUCUAUACAAACCUCGAAAGCCACAAGUCAAACGUCUCAGA
ensembl:lncRNA